GAUGAACGCUAGCGGGAGGCCUAACACAUGCAAGCCGAGCGGUAUUGUUUCUUCGGAAAUGAGAGAGCGGCGUACGGGUGCGGAACACGUGUGCAACCUGCCUUUAUCUGGGGGAUAGCCUUUCGAAAGGAAGAUUAAUACUCCAUAAUAUAUUGAACGGCAUCGUUUAAUAUUGAAAGCUCCGGCGGAUAGAGAUGGGCACGCGCAAGAUUAGCUAGUUGGUGAGGUAACGGCUCACCAAGGCGAUGAUCUUUAGGGGGCCUGAGAGGGUGAUCCCCCACACUGGUACUGAGACACGGACCAGACUCCUACGGGAGGCAGCAGUGCGGAAUAUUGGUCAAUGGGUGCAAGCCUGAACCAGCCAUCCCGCGUGAAGGACGACUGCCCUAUGGGUUGUAAACUUCUUUUGUAUAGGGAUAAACCUACCCUCGUGAGGGUAGCUGAAGGUACUAUACGAAUAAGCACCGGCUAACUCCGUGCCAGCCGCCGCAGUAAUAC
rnacentral:rRNA from 1 species